rnacentral:rRNA from 1 species
UACGGGGGGGGCAAGCGUUGUUCGGAAUUACUGGGCGUAAAGGGUUCGUAGGUGGCCUACUAAGUCAUACGUGAAAUCCCUCAGCUUAACUGGGGAACUGCGUCUGAGACUGGAAGGCUUGAGUGCAGGAGAGGAACGCGGAAUUCCAGGUGUAGCGGUGAAAUGCGUAGAUAUUGGGAGGAAUACCGGUGGCGAAGGCGGCUCUCUGGACCGGUACUGACGCUGAUGCGCGAAAGCGUGGGUAGCAAACAGG